AAGUCGUAACAAGGUUUCCGUAGGUGAACCUGCGGAAGGAUCACUA
rnacentral:rRNA from 2 species